rnacentral:lncRNA from 1 species
GCCACUGAUGACCAGUACAAUGUGUAUGACAAGGGCCUGUUUACUGCUCAGCCCACACUUUCAACCCUAUAUAGGCCCAAGAAAGAUGCAGAUGAUGACAUGUAUGGAGGAAACGCAGAUGAACAGAUGGAGAAGAUUAUGAAGACUGAUCGGUUCAAACCUGACAAGGGAUUUGCUGGUAGUUCUGAGAGGUCUGGUCCUAGAGACAGACCAGUCGAGUUUGAGAAGGAGGCUGAAGA